CAGCCUCUCACACUGGAAAGUGCAGGACCAUACACAGAGAGGGUCAAAGAAAGCAGGGGAGCUUUGGCAGCUAAAAAGUGACGUACACCUCAGACCCACAAAAAUGUGCAAAGUACCACUACUUUGGACGGUCUUUGACACUGAAUAAACAAACGGCAAUUCCCGAAUUUAAGGACGCUUCGGAAUCCCACACAUGCAAAGCACAACCAGCCAUAGACAAUAAGUGGCAGACAGAGCUUGAACUUUUUCCUGCUUCCAACGUUAGCUACAUGGUUGCUGGAUAUACCAAACUUAUUUUUCUUCACUUUUCAGGAGCACGGGCGGAUAGCUGAUGAGGAA